rnacentral:lncRNA from 1 species
UCAAUGCUAAUACUAGCUCAGGCCCAAUAAAUGCUGUUCUACAAUUGCAUUGGCUAAAACAUGUGUCUAGUUUUCAUAUUUGGGCACAGGACAGUCUUUCUGUACACCCCUGCAAGCAAAAGACAGAACCAUCAGCAUGUAAUUCUGAACACAUGGUAAAUUCUCUACAAACAUCAGCAGAGAAAGUUGAAGUCACAGGGUAUGGUAUUACUGAUGAAUUAUUGUCAGCAAUUUUGGAGAAUGAAAUCUGUCCUUCAAGUUUAUCUAUAUCAGAUUGUCCACAAAUAACAUCUCUUGAUCUUAGUCCCCUAAGAUCAUUAAAAUCUCUGGUAAUACACAAUUGUGUAUCACUAAGAAAACUCUUUGACCGACAAUAUUUCACUGCUCUUAGGGAUUUGGAAGUGACCAAUGCAUCAAGUUUUGCUGAAGCAUGGAGUGAACUGUUAGGAUCCAGAUAUGCAGAGUGGGGUCAAGUUACUACCUCACUGGAAUCUCUUACAGUUGACAGCACCUUAUUCCUCAACUCCCCUUUGUGUGCAGUGCUCACUUCUCUGAAGAAGCUAACAAUUCAUUCGGAUUUCAGGGUCACUUCCCUCUCAAGACAACAGGUGCAGGCACUUCUACUCUUAACCUCUCUGCAAGAUCUUGGGUUUAUACAAUGCUGCAAUCUACAUUCUCUUCCCAGUGAACUGCACAAAAUAUACACUCUCAAGCAGCUCGAGAUUGAUUCAUGCCCAUGUGUUGAGUCAUUGCCAAAUAAUGGGCUGCCGGAAAAGCUUGAAAAAUUGAUCAUCAGAGGCUGCAACAGAAGAUUGUAUACAGGUGCAUCAAUGAUGGGUUCAACUAGCACCAAAGUGCACCUAGUAGAUAGAUGAUAUAAUAGAUUUAGGUUCAUAUUAGUCGGCGACCACGAAUAUAAAUAGCUCGUGCAAGUGCACAGUAAUCAAGUAGUCUACGUAGUCGCUUUUGGAUGUCAGGCUAUGCAACGGUAUUAAUCAAAAGAUUUAUUCACCUAUUUUUAUUUCUGAAAACUGUUAUAGAUACAACCGUUUCGUAUGGAACAAAAAGGCAACCCACACAGAUGUUUUCAUCUGACUUGAUAAUUCCUCUUAACAAUCUAAUUACCAUGACAUGCAUCCUCCAUACAUUCUUAGAUCUCGAUACCAGAAUCCUCCAAAUAAUAGCUUUACUUUUUGUUCUGAUUUGCACACAAAAGUCUCCUCCAAACGAACUGCACAAAUCUUGACGCGCACACAAGCAAUGCAGCAAACUCAUCACAGAAAUUCAGAUUUGACAGCAUGCUUCCUUCCGAAACCCGAUACUUAGAGCAGAAACAGCCGAGUCACCCCGUUCCAACGCGCAGAACCUUUGAUCCCCAAUUCCCCAUAGGCCAUACCACAACUACCCAACUCGGCAACUACACGAGAUACAGGAAGGGAUAAAAUGGCGAGACGGGAGAGGGGGCGGAUGCCAUACCGGUGGAGAAAGCCCUGGGGAAGGAGGAAAUCCGGGAGGUAGGAGGCGGCGCGGCAAGCCCGGCGGCGGCGGCCAUGAUCGAGCUUCGAGCUAAUUCCACCGCUGAGCUCUGCGAAUGGACCAACCCCGCGGCUCCGAG